GAUGAAGAACGUAGUGAAAUGCGAUAAGUAAUGUGAAUUGCAGAAUUCAGUGAAUCAUCGAAUCUUUGAACGCACAUUGCGCCCGCUAGUAUUCUGGCGGGCAUGCCUGUCCGAGCGUCAUUUCAACCCUCAAGCCCCCGGGCUUGGUGUUGGGGAUCGGCGAGCCUCCGCGCCCGCCGUCCCCUAAAUCUAGUGGCGGUCUCGCUGUAGCUUCCUCUGCGUAGUAGCACACCUCGCACUGGGAAACAGCGCGGCCACGCCGUUAAACCCCCAACUUCUGAACGUUUGACCUCGGAUCAGGUAGGAAUACCCGCUGAACUUAAGCAUAUCAAUAGCGGAGGA
rnacentral:misc_RNA from 1 species